UUAAGCAAGAAAGGGCGCAGGGUGGAUGCCUUGGCACUGAGAGCCGAAGAAAGACGUGAUAAGCUGCGAUAAGCAGCGGUGAGGAGCAAAUAUCCGAUGACCCGCUGAUUUCUGAAUGGGGAAACCCGGCUGAGCAACCCUCAGUCACCAUAUGCUGAAUACAUAGGUAUAUGGAGGGAACCCGCUGAACUGAAACAUCUAAGUAGGCGGAGGAAGAGAAAGAAACAUCGAUUCUGUGAGUAGCGGCGAGCGAAAACGGAAGAGCCUAAACCGGAGCGCGUGCGUUCCGGGGUUCGGACUGCGACAUGUGAGCAAUAGGAUAACAGAACUGUCUGGGAAGUCAGACCAGAGAGGGUGAAAGUCCCGUAUGUGAAAUCCGAGUUGCAGCUAGCAGGAUCCAGAGUACCACGAGACACGAGAAACCUUGUGGGAAGGCAGGGAGACCACUCCCUAAGGCUAAAUACUACUCAGUGACCGAUAGCGCAUAGUACUGUGAAGGAAAGGUGAAAAGGACCCCGGGAGGGGAGUGAAAGAGAACCUGAAACCCUGUGUCUACAAGCUGUGGAAGAUCUUUACAUGAUCAACCGCGUACUUUUUGUAGAACGGUCCGGCGAGUUGCCAUGUCUGGCAAGGUUAAGUACUUAAGGUACGGAGCCGAAGUGAAAGCAAGUGUUAACAGCACGUAAAGUCAGACCGGGCAGACCCGAAACCGGGUGAUCUACCCAUGUCCAGGUUGAAGUUGCCGUAAAAGGCAAUGGAGGACCGAACGCACAUCCGUUGAAAAGGGUGGCGAUGAGGUGUGGGUAGGGGAGAAAUUCCAAUCGAACCCGGAGAUAGCUGGUUCUCCUCGAAAUAGCUUUAGGGCUAGCCUCGUGUUAACCUUGUGGAGGUAGAGCACUGAAUAUCCUAGGGGGCGUCAAAGUCUACCGAAGAUUAUCAAACUCCGAAUGCCAUAAAGGUGAUGCACGGGAGUCAGACUGCACGAGAUAAGUUGGGUGGUCAAAAGGGAAAGAGCCCAGACCUACAGCUAAGGUCCCAAAGUGCGUGUUAAGUGGAAAAGGAUGUGGGAUUUCGAAGACAACUAGGAUGUUGGCUCAGAAGCAGCCAUACAUUCAAAGAGUGCGUAAUAGCUCACUAGUCGAGAGGUCCUGCGCCGAAAAUGUCCGGGGCUGAAACACGACACCGAAGCUUAGGACUCCAUUUAGGAGUGGUAGAGGAGCAUUGUUAGCGCAGCGAAGCUGUACCGAUAAGGAGCAGUGGAGUGCUAAGAAGAGAGAAUGCCGGAAUGAGUAGCGAGAGGAAGGUGAGAAUCCUUCCGGCCGAAUAUCCAAGGUUUCCAGAGUAAAGCUGAUCUGCUCUGGGUAAGUCGGGGCCUAAGGCGAGGUCGAAAGACGUAGUCGAUGGAUAACAGGUGGAGAUUCCUGUACUAUGUGUACCCAGAACUGUGGGGACGCAUGUGGAGAGCACGAGCCGGGAAAGAGAAGACCGGUACAAGCGGGGUAGGAGUAAGGACAGCAAAUCUUCCUUACAAUCCGAAGACGUAAUGUGGACCGAACCAAAGUAGGGAAGCGUGUGAGCCAUGUGCCAAGAAAAGCCGCUAUAGUGAUACACAUACCCGUACCGUAAACCGACACAGGUGGAUGAGGAGAGAAUCCUAAGGCCGACGGAAGAAGCAUUGUUAAGGAACUCGGCAAAAUGACCCCGUAACUUCGGGAGAAGGGGUGCCCUGUGAAAGCAGGGCCGCAGAGAAUAGGCUCAAGCAACUGUUUAGCAAAAACACAGGUCUAUGCGAAACCGAAAGGUGAGGUAUAUGGGCUGACGCCUGCCCGGUGCUGGAAGGUUAAGAGGAGAAGUCAGGCAACGAAGCUUCGAAUUUAAGCCCCAGUAAACGGCGGCCGUAACUAUAACGGUCCUAAGGUAGCGAAAUUCCUUGUCGGGUAAGUUCCG
rnacentral:rRNA from 1 species